GACGAACGCUGGCGGCGUGCCUAAUACAUGCAAGUAGAACGCUGAAGGCGGAGCUUGCUUCUCUGGAUGAGUUGCGAACGGGUGAGUAACGCGUAGGUAACCUGCCUGGUAGCGGGGGAUAACUAUUGGAAACGAUAGCUAAUACCGCAUAAUAGUAGAUGUUGCAUGACAUUUGCCUAAAAGGUGCAAUUGCAUCACUACCAGAUGGCCCUGCGUUGUAUUAGCUAGUUGGUGGGGUAACGGCUCACCAAGGCGACGAUACAUAGCCGACCUGAGAGGGUGAUCGGCCACACUGGGACUGAGACACGGCCCAGACUCCUACGGGAGGCAGCAGUAGGGAAUCUUCGGCAAUGGACGGAAGUCUGACCGAGCAACGCCGCGUGAGUGAAGAAGGUUGUCGGAUCGUAAAGCUCUGUUGUAAGAGAAGAACGAGUGUGAGAGUGGAAAGUUCACACUGUGACGGUAUCUGACCAGAAAGGGACGGCUAACUACGUG
rnacentral:rRNA from 1 species